rnacentral:rRNA from 1 species
UACGUAGGGCGCAAGCGUUAUCCGGAAUUAUUGGGCGUAAAGAGCUCGUAGGCGGUCAGUCGCGUCUGCUGUGAAAACUCGGGGCUUAACUCCGGGCCUGCAGUGGGUACGGGCUGACUAGAGUGCGGUAGGGGAGACUGGAAUUCCUGGUGUAGCGGUGAAAUGCGCAGAUAUCAGGAGGAACACCGGUGGCGAAGGCGGGUCUCUGGGCCGUAACUGACGCUGAGGAGCGAAAGCGUGGGGAGCGAACAGG